rnacentral:rRNA from 1 species
UACGUAGGGUGCGAGCGUUAUCCGGAAUCACUGGGCGUAAAGCGUCUGUAGGUGGUUCGAAAAGUCCACUGUUAAGAAUUGAGGCUUAACUUCAAAGAUGCCGUGGAAACUUUCAAACUAGAGUAUGGUAGGGGUAGAGGGAAUUUCCAGUGGAGCGGUGAAAUGCGUAGAUAUUGGAAAGACCACCGAUGGCGAAGGCACUCUACUGGGCCACUACUGACACUGAGAGACGAAAGCUAGGGGAGCAAAUGGG